UACGUAGGUGGCAAGCGUGUCCGGAUUUACUGGGCGUAAAGAGCGCGCAGGCGGUCGUACAAGUCGCGUGUGAAAGCCCCCGGCUCAACUGGGGAGGGUCACGCGAUACUGUUCGACUCGAAGGCAGGAGAGGGAAGUGGAAUUCCCGGUGUAGUGGUGAAAUGCGUAGAUAUCGGGAGGAACACCAGUGGCGAAGGCGACUUCCUGGCCUGUUCUUGACGCUGAGGCGCGAAAGCUAGGGUAGCAAACGGG
rnacentral:rRNA from 1 species